CUGACGCAUGUUUACAUUAUGACGUCGUGCUAUUGCUUUUUGCACAACGACCCCAUUGUUAUAUUUAAAAAAUGUUAUAAAUCAAGAGGAAAUUGUAGAGAGGGAAUUGAGAUGGAGAGGAUGAAUAGAAGAGAAUGUUUGCUCUCUAUUAUGUCUGUAUUCAGUAGGGAAGGGGGGGAAGCCUUUUAUAGGCAUUUGGGGACUCCACCUACUUUAUUUUACAACACUCCCCCUUGGAGACCAUAAAUGAUACAGAAUAUGUCUCGUUAAAAACCUUGCCAGUAAAAACCCAGUGGGACAAAAACUGGUCAAAGGAAAAAAGAGUACAUAACCAUGUGUAACAUAAAAUUCUAUGUAUAUUGACGCGCG
rnacentral:lncRNA from 1 species